CUAGAGUGCAGUGGCACAGUCUCAGCUCACCGCAACCUCUGCCUCCGGGAUUCCAGAUCUGCAAAAUAAGUGGAAUCCCUACUCACAGAGAAAAGAAAAACUAGGUAGCCAGAAGAAUUGAAGUAGCUGCCUCUGGGGAUUGUGACUAGGAGGGCUGGAGAAACUAUGAGAGACAACAGUGGAGAAAAAGAAAAAUCUGGGAACAAAUUAAUAAAUACCUCACAAACAUUGUUCCUUGUUUUUUCAGUUCCAUAAGAUUAAAAUUCCCUAGGUUGGCCACACAUAACAAGGCUCACCAGUC